GUGUUGUGUGCUUGACAAUAUAGCUAACAAAGCGAAUUGUGAACUGCCUCCGCUGAACCGACACGAAGAACAGGAGCAGCAGCAGGAGCAGAGAUUAGCGGCGGAGUUUGACGCCCGUCAGCAGAAUGCUGAUAUUUAUUUGGCAAUGGCUCCUGACAGGUGUUGGCUAAACAAAGAGCUGCAGCUGGGUCGCGCUGCUCGUCAAGCGCUUGUCCGGCAGUUAGCAAAUUAUUGAUUCUUCAUCGGACCAAGGCCGAUUUGUCCAGGACCAAUUUUCGGAUCUCCUGGGCUUCCUGGAACAAGGACUAGUGAUUGUUUCGAGGAGCUGUCAUGGUGUUGGCUCUUGAUAUUUUAUCGUGAAACGCAGAUUUAAUGAUGAAGGCGCGUCGGAACCCAAACGUCAAGAAUCGCCGACGUUCACAGAAGCAGCUACAAUGAGCGGAGAAUCUGAGAGCCAGGAAUGCGGAGCACCUUGCUACUACUAAAAUGGAGAACCCGGACCUGUUAGCGACAUGGAACUGACCAGGACCGUCGUGGGCUCCUCAUGUGCCACCCCG
rnacentral:lncRNA from 1 species